GACGAACGCUGGCGGCGUGCUUAACACAUGCAAGUCGAACGGUGAAGCGCCUUCCUUUUUGGUUUGUGUGGAUGAGUGGCGAACGGGUGAGUAACACGUGAGUAACCUUCUCCCUUCUUCUGGAUAACCGCAUGAAAGUGUGGCUAAUACGGGAUAUUCUGGGUCUGUCGCAUGAUUGGUCUGGGAAAGAUAUUGUUUCGGUGGGGGAUGGCCUCGCGGCCUAUCAGCUUGUUGGUGGGGUGAUGGCCUACCAAGGCGGUGACGGGUAGACGGCCUGGGAGGGUGGCCGGCCCCAGAGGGACGGCGACAACGACGAGACUGCGACAGGAGGCAGAAGUGAGGAAUAGUGAACAAUGGGAACAAGGCUGAAGCAGCGACGCGGCGUGAGGGAUGGAGGCCUGCGGGUUAUGAACCUCUUUCGGCAGUGAAGCAGGGUUGACUGGUUUGUGGGUGGGUUGACGGUAGCUGGAGAAGAAGCGCCGGCUAACUACGUG
rnacentral:rRNA from 1 species